CCUCAAGCAGGGCCCAGACUGGCUCCUGAAAUGCAGCUAGAGGCUCUGGUCUGCCAGGCUGCAGAAAGAGGCCCAAAGUGAGUCGCCCAGGCAGGGGCCUGCAGCCCGCCCAGGAGGGUUGGUUAGGGCUUGCUGUUCAGUUUGAGGAGGCUCACUUCCUUCCCCUUUCUGCAGCCUGCUGGGCCCCAGGGAGCUGGUAACCCGGGAACUGAGGCACGGGGGAGAGGCCUCCGGAGCCUGUUGGGUUGCCAGCCUGGCUGUCAGCUGGCUGGGCCCUCCUCGGGGUGUGAGCAGAGCAUUCUACUGCAGUGACCAGGGCCCGGGCGUCCACCAGAGCAGAGUGCAGGGAUGGGGGAAUGACACUAUUCCAGGAGAGAGGAUUCUGCUCCAUGAAUGCCUCUGUGGCUCUACUGAUACUUCUCACAAGGACACCAAUCAGUGGAUUCAGGCCCACUGCGACUUGUGUGAUCUCAUUUUCACUUAAUUACCUAUGUCUGCAAAGAUCCUGUUUCCAAAGAAGGCCACAUUCAGAGGUUCCACUUUGGCAUGGAUUUCUGGAGACCUAUUCAACACAUUAGGUAGGCAAUGGUAAAAAGAUGCAUUUCCUUUCUGCUGGAAGGAAAACACAAAUAGACAACUGAAAAUUAGACUAAUUAAGGACACAUUAGCCAUUAAAACUUUAAGCAUUUGCAAAGUCCAUUUGAUAAAACAAAUGGUUAAUGCUGCUGCACAAAUUAUAUAAAUGCAGCAAAUCUGGUUCUCUUGGAUUCCAGUACCAGAAUUUAAGACUGAUAUCUUGAGAAAGCUAUGAUAGGGGAGAACUAGAUACCCAACUUUCUCACUGGGUCUCUCUCAUCAGCCUUUGCGCUAAAUCAAAGCGCCAGAAAUUGGUAAAGAUGUUGAUUGGGGAAUGGAAAAACAUAACCUACAAUUGU